AUGGAGGGCUAAGAAAGUAAAUCCAAGAAAGUGUUGUGGAUAUUACUGAUACUACCCUCCUACAGCACCAGAUAGAUGAACAGGUCUGUUGGCAAAGUGUAUUCAGCACCUACUUAAUCUAUCAACAGUU